AAAAAGAUCUAGCAUGGAAAUAUGAUCGAUCGCAAAAUGACCAAGAUAUAAAUACGUUUAUCUGUGGAUUUUGUUCGAAAGUAACAAAAGAAGGGGUGUAUCGAUUGAAACACCACCUUGUUGGUGGUUAUAGAAAUGCCACAUGUUGAAAAUGUCUGGAUCAUAUGAAGGAAGAAAUUAAAGAUUACAUGUCCAAGAAAAAGGAGAUCAAAGAACAAAGAAAUUUGAUUGGGAACAUUGAUGUAGAUUACGGUAUGAGGAUGAAGAUGAAGGGAGUGUUAGUGUAAACAACAGAGCAAGUGGCUCGAGCUUGAAGAAGCCAAUACAAAAAGGUCCAAUGGAUGCAUUUUUUACUCCCAAUCCAGAAACUGUGGUUCAAAAUAGAAAGAACGACAAAGGAAAACAAACUUCGUUGAAUGCGGCGUACAAGAAGGAAAUGAUGCAGGAGUGUCUUUGAAUGCUUGCACAUAUGAUAGUUUUUCCCUAUGAUUGAGUCAAUUGGGCAAUUUGGUCUUGGAUUGAAACCACCAAUGUAUCAUGAGUUGAGAGUCCCAUGUUUGAAGAAGGAAUUAUAAGCAACAAAUGAGUUGAUGAGGAGCCAUAAGGCAGAGUGGGCCAAGGUUGGAUGCACUGUUAUGGCUGAUGGUGGACCGAUAGAAGAAAUAGGACAUUAAUUAACUUUUUAGUUAAUAGUCCUAAGGGUACCAUGUUUAUUGAGUCCAUCGAUGUUUCAUUUAUGUGAAGGAUGGAAAGAAGAUGCUCGAGCUACUUGACAAUUGUGUAGAGCGCAUUGGAGAAGCAAAUGUUGUACAAGUAGUUACUGAUAGGGCCUCAGCAAAUGUGAUGGCAGGUAAGAAUGUAAAUUACACACAAGUUACACCUUUAAUUUGUUAGAUUUAGUGAGUUCUAUGCUAAAUGUGUACUUAUUUUCUUUGUUAAUAGAGAGAUUGUUAGAAGCAAACCGACCACAAUUAAUAUGGUAUCCAUGUGCCGCUCAUUGCUUAGAUUUGAUGUUGGAGGAUAUAUACAAGAUCUCUAAUAUUUGCAAAGCAUUGAAAAGAGGCAUGGAGAUUAGCAACUUCAUAUAUGUUCGUCUUGGAUUAUUAAACAUGAUGCGACGAUUUACUAACCAAAAGGAGUUAGUUAGACCAGCUAAGACUCACUUUGCUAUUGUUUGCAUUACAUUAUCGAGUAUACAUCAUCAAAAGAACAACUUAAGGAAGAUGUUUACUUUAGAUGAAUGGAAGGAUAGCAAAUGGAGCAAGGAGCAACAAGGGAGGAGAGUAGUUCAGACUAUUUUGUUGGCUAGUUUUUGAACUACAAUUGUGUUUACUCCUAAAGUAUCUGGCCCACUAGUCCAAGUUCUUAGAUUGGUUGAUGGCGAAAAGAAGCCACCUAUGGGAUAUAUUUAUGAGGUCAUGGAUAGAGCUAACGAAACUAUUGCUAAGUCGUUCAAUAAUAAUGAAGAAAAAUACAAGGACAUUUUCACUAGAAUGGAUAGAAAAUGGGAGCUUCAGUUGCAUUGUCCUCUGCAUGCAGGGGGUAUUUUUUAAACCCGUCAUUCUAUUAUUCGAAUCCUAACAUACAAAAGGAUGAUGAAAUAGUUAAGGGGCUCUACUCAUGCAUAACAAAAAUAGUUGUUUCAUUGGACGUCUAAGACAAAAUACUUGCAGAACUAAGCAAGUAUAAGAGAGCUGAAGCAUUGUUUGGACAACCUUUAACAAUCUGACAAAGCGACAAAACAUCUUCAGUGAAGUGGUGGGAUAAUUUUGGACAAUCAACUCCAAACUUGCAAAAUUUUGCUGUGAGAAUUUUAGGUCUUACUUUUAGUGUUUCUGGAUGCAAACGUAAUUGGAGUGUGUUUGAGCAGGUUCAUAGCAAGAAACAAAAUAGGCUUACUCAAAGUCGUUUGAAUGAUUUACUGUUCAUCAAAUACAAUAGAGCAUUAAAACAUCUAUACAACCUUCGAGAUAUUGUUGACCCCAUAUCUUUAAGAGAUAUUGAUGAUAGUAACGAGUGGUUGAUUGGAAGAUUUGAUGAUGAUUCUGAGGAGGAUGAGCUAGUAUUUGACAAUGAUACUUUAACGUGGGGUGAUGUUUCAAGAGCUGUCGGAGUAAAAGAACCAACCUUCUAUUCUAGAGCUAGGGCCUCAGGAGCAAAGACUAAUGUUUCAUGUUCAUCCUCGUCUACCACGCAACCCACACCCAAACAAAUAAAUUUGGAUGACUCCGAUAAGGAAGAAGAAGAUACCGAUAGGGAGUGAAUGAAGUUGAGGAUCAAUUUAGUAUGAUGAGUUUGAUCUUUAGGAAUGAACUUUUAUUUUGAUUGUUGUUGAAUUUGACUAGUUUUCUAUUGUGUUUUGUUUUUUGGGUAGAAAACUAAUAUUAUAAUAUUCUACACAUUAGAGUUAAUUCUCA